rnacentral:rRNA from 1 species
GAUACCCUGGUAGUCCACGCCGUAAACGAUGUCGACUUGGAGGUUGUGCCCUUGAGGCGUGGCUUCCGGAGCUAACGCGUUAAGUCGACCGCCUGGGGAGUACGGCCGCAAGGUUAAAACUCAAAUGAAUUGACGGGGGCCCGCACAAGCGGUGGAGCAUGUGGUUUAAUUCGAUGCAACGCGAAGAACCUUACCUGGUCUUGACAUCCACGGAAGUUUUCAGAGAUGAGAAUGUGCCUUCGGGAACCGUGAGACAGGUGCUGCAUGGCUGUCGUCAGCUCGUGUUGUGAAAUGUUGGGUUAAGUCCCGCAACGAGCGCAACCCUUAUCCUUUGUUGCCAGCGGUCCGGCCGGGAACUCAAAGGAGACUGCCAGUGAUAAACUGGAGGAAGGUGGGGAUGACGUCAAGUCAUCAUGGCCCUUACGACCAGGGCUACACACGUGCUACAAUGGCGCAUACAAAGAGAAGCGACCUCGCGAGAGCAAGCGGACCUCAUAAAGUGCGUCGUAGUCCGGAUUGGAGUCUGCAACUCGACUCCAUGAAGUCGGAAUCGCUAGUAAUCGUGGAUCAGAAUGCCACGGUGAAUACGUUCCCGGGCCUUGUACACACCGCCCGUCACACCAUGGGAGUGGGUUGCAAAAGAAGUAGGUAGCUUAACCUUCGGGAGGGCGCUUACCACUUUGUGAUUCAUGACUGGGGUGAAGUCGUAACAAGGUAACCGUAGGGGAACCUGCGGUUG